rnacentral:tRNA from 1 species
GAGGUAGUGGCUCAGCGGUAGAGCACUCGCCUAUCAUGUGUGAGGCCCGGUUCAAUCCUCAGCACCACA